UACGUAGGGUGCAAGCGUUGUCCGGAAUUAUUGGGCGUAAAGAGCUCGUAGGCGGUUUGUCGCGUCGAAUGUGAAAGCCCGGGGCUCAACUCCGGGUCUGCAUUCGAUACGGGCAAACUAGAGUUCGGUAGGGGAGACUGGAAUUCCUGGUGUAGCGGUGAAAUGCGCAGAUAUCAGGAGGAACACCGGUGGCGAAGGCGGGUCUCUGGGCCGAUACUGACGCUGAGGAGCGAAAGCGUGGGGAGCAAACAGG
rnacentral:rRNA from 1 species